CUCCUCCCCCAAUUUUCAACUUCCCUCCUCCCCCAUUUUUCUUUUGAAACCCACCACGAGAAACAAAAUGUUGUUUCAUUCACUAUUUUUGUUUUUCAGUUCUAAUAGAAAAAAAAAACAGAUCCAAGCUGAAAACACAUUCAUCUCUUUCGACUCGGCAGAGGCGGCGACCGGUAAGGGUUUAACUCGACAACUCGUAGUAAGGUCUGAGACAGAGUCGGGGUUGAGAGAUUCUGGGAAAAGUUUCAGUUGGGAAGAGCAGGUGUUGAAUCAUUCUUCUGCUAUCCUGGUGCAGCAGCCCAAGAUUCAACAAGAUGGUGGUAGUAUGUCAUGUAAAAAGCCAUUUACAGAAAUAUAGAACAGCCAGAUACAGACCAGAGUCAUCAUAAGGUAUGCUUUGGAUGUGAAUGUGGAGAGGGCACAAGAUAUUCUCAUGCAUAAAAGACUAUUGCAUAUGGUACAUGACCCUGCCACUAGACCCGCAGUCUAAGUCUGUCUUGUGCAGGUUCAUUCUUCUUCUGGUUCAAACUCAUCCAGAAAAGCAGAUGCUCAAUGUUCUGGUUUUGCUGGAAAAUGGAGUCAUGGUCCAAAGAAAAGAUGUUUGGACUUGUUUUUCUUUAUGUAAGAUUCAGUACAACCAUUGCUCUUUACAUCUCUCAUAUGAUACCCUCUUUCCAUUUCUCAUGUGUUCAGUCAUCCACCACCAGCUUUUGGUUGGUCUGAAGACCUUGAACUUGCUCUUGAAGCCAAGAAGCUACAAGUUCAACAUGGGAAUAACACUGUGAAUUCGAUCCUUUCCAAGGCCAAUGCAUGAAAUUACAAUUUCAACUAAUGAUAAGCCCAAACUCCCUAGUGAGAAAAGUUCGGCACAAGAAUGUCGUUCAAUUCAUUGGGGCAUGCACUAGACCUCCUAACCUCUGCAUAGCUACUGAAUUUUUGUUGGGUGGAAGCAUGUACGACUUUCUGCAUAAACAAAAUGGUGCCCUUUCACUUCAGUCCUUGCUCAAAGUUGCAGUUGAUGUUUCCAGGGGAAUGAAAUACUUGCAUCAAGAUAAUAUUAUCCACAGGGACUUGAAAGCUGCUAAUCUUUUGAUGGAUGGAAUGGAGUAAGAGAUAAGUUUUCUUCAUGUUGCAUUUGUCUAUUUCUUUCAGCUCUGUAACAUAGUUUACUGUAUUCGCUCACUUACAAAUUUUGGACUUCUGAUCUCUUAUAGCCUUCAAAAAAAAAUUAUGUUGGAGGGGAAGAAAGCCUUUGUAUUACUGUCAUUUCUAUUCGAAUAGAUGGACUAUAAAUAUCUUCUAAAUACAACGUACUAUUCCUUAUUAUACUUUUCUCAAAACUAAAGGGAGGCAGGGGCAAGCAUGUGCAUUCUUGUCCUUGUUUCAAAUUGCUCUUGUUGAUAAGAGCUCAUCAGGUUCUUCCAAGGCUGUACUUAGAUUUAAGAGGUGUUCUAAACUUCAUUAUUUUAAAGAUUGAAAUACUUGUUUUAACAGGUUGUGAAAGUAGCUGAUUUUGGGAUUGCUAGAGUACAGGCACAAUCUGGUGUCAUGACUGCAGAAACUGGCACUUACUGUUGGAUGGCUCUGAAGUAGGUUGAUGGAUAUAUCCAAGAUGAAGUAAAAUAGUUAGCAUGCAUGUAUGCAGAUUUCUUAUUUCUGGUAUGAUGUUAUAUAUGUAGCAGCAGCUAGCUUUGAAUUAUAUUGGUCCAAACAUAGUAGUAGUGCAUUCUGGAUCUUGGAAUUGUGGUUUUUGUAGGUUACUUGUUUUGGAUCUUGGACAUGUAUUGAUGGAUGUUCUAUAUAUA